AUGUCAUGUGAAGUGACGUUACUUGUCUGGUCAUGUCAUGAUCUGUCUGUCUGUUUAUUGUUUUGCUAUUGUUCUCAGCUAUUGUUAUGUUAUGUAAGCGCUUUGCAUUUUUUUUAGAUACAUUUUAUCGUUUAUCAUUAAGUGUGUGUUUAUAUAUAAACGGGUUAUUAAAUCCUAAAUUAAGAUUAAACAAAGAAAGGCUUGAAAGUGUUUUGGUUGGUACAAGAAUGGCGGAGGCGGACGCAGUAGCUGUCUGCAGAGUGUGUCAGGCGGUGGACGAGCGCUUAUUAACAAUAGCCGGCACGCUACAAUUGGUGUACGAGAAGAUCAACAGCAAUGCAUUGCACACUAAGGGGUAGCCCGUGGCGGCGUGUUAUACCUGCUACGAUCAGCUUGACAAGUGCCGCAAGUUUAUGCUGACUUGUGCAUUAGCAGAGAAUGUGCUGAAAGUUAUGUUGCACAAUCAGGAUAACUACAGAAGCAAUAUUCCUGGUUGACAACAAGGCUCUCUCUCGGGCUAUGUCUGUCUGCUGUGUUUCACCAUAAUGGUGAUGUGCUGGGGAUUUAAACUGAGCUGGAGUCAGAUGUUGCCAAUAUUGAGCCAGUGAAAACCAAGGAGGAACCAGUGGAAAGUAUGUCUUUUGAGAUGAUCUGUAUAGUCUUUGCUGUGUUGCUGUGUGCCCUCAUGGGAAUCUCCAUGACUGUGGCGAUUCUGAUGAAGAAUACCCCAGACAAAUGUCACAUCUGUGUGAUAUAAAGAAAGAAAAAAAAUUAUUUGCCAAAAACUUUUAUUAAUGUGAUUCAUACGUAUCUUGUAAGUUUUGGAGAUUUUAUCUGGUCUGUCCAAGAAACUGUUGACCUGGGUACAGUUAAUAUUCUCACUUAGUCUGUUGAAACUUAUUCUUUUGUUUCCUUUUUGCUUAUUUAUUUGCCUGUUUUAAAACCUGUUAAUUUAUUAUUUUUGAAGUUUAAACAAAUAUUGCAGACUUAUUAUCUCUUUACCCACAACUUGAUCAGCAUAGAAUAGUUACUUCUGACAGCAUCAUUAUAUAUUGCGAUUUCAACAUGAUUUUUGUACAAACUUUCACCACCCAUUAUUCAUAAUACUUAUGUAACUUUUCUGGGGGUUGAUUUUUGGAAAAAAAGUCGAUGUUGGAAUGUCUUUAGGGUGUAACAAUAACAACGUGCAUCAAAAUUGCUUCAGCAGUUUAUCUGUGAAACAGAACAGAAAGACUUUUGCAUUUAUAAUAUUAGUAUGGAUAAGCUACAUUGUUAUAUCCUGUUAAUAAAUUAUGGUUUUUGAUGAGCAUUAUUCAUCACUAUGUUGUUGAUAUAUGUGUUUAAACUGGGAAACUAUUGUAAAACCAUAAUCUGCCUUUGAUUGUACCGGUUCCAAAAAUACAUCUUUGAAACCCUUAUUCCCAUACGAUUGCAACUGCGCAGUUGCAAUCGUAUGCAGAUGCUGCCAGCUUUACGUCCCUCCCUUGUUUAUUUAUUUAUUACAAGCUUUUAUUUACCUAUCCCAAUUAUUAUUGUUUUAUAUACUAUAGGUAUUUACUUAAAUACUUAAAUAAUGUUAAAUACACAGGGUGUUACGAAUGUCAUAUUUUCUGUAUAAUGUUUGAUAUGCGAGUGUGCGAAUGCGAACGUUCAGUUAAAACUUUAAAACAGAACAAUAAAACAUAAAAUAAUCACAAUUUGUAUUAGUAUUACGCUUAAAUUAAGUAUUUAAUCACAUAAUAUGUUAGAAAGAAGACCCACUGGAUGCUUAAGUACUUAGUAAAUUAUGCGUACCACGCUUUUCGCAUGCAGCGAUUUCAUAACAUUCGCAUUCGCAACACAUUCGCAAAAAUUAUGCGAAUGCGAAUGUUGAUAAUGAUGCGAAUCAUUCGCGAAAGCGAAUAUUCGUAACAUCCCUGAACUACACUAUACAUAGAAUACAAUAUAUACUUUUGUUCUUUCAUUCAAAGUCGAAAACCAUACCAUAUUUUUCUUUAUUGUAAUGCCAGCUCCACACUGUCGGCGAACUAGGACACGUGGCGACGCGAAUGCGUGAACAUUGCGUUGUUAGUAUGAGUGUUUUUAUUUACCCUCAAUGAAAAACCAGCAUUGUAUACCGAAUCCGCCAAAGUUUGGCAAACUGUUCAACGUCUGUCUGGAGCCGGCAUAAGAAAUACUCAAUGUAAGCUAAUGUGAAUUAAUGUACAUUGCGUCGUUUUGCUAGAGCUUGCUAUAAACGCAAAGACAAAGAAGCAAUGUACGUUGAAUUCGCUGUGUUUGAUGACUUUUUAAUUGGAAACUACACAUUUUUACUCAACUUUUUGCUGUUCUACUACACAAUAACAUUGACAGAUGUCGCCUCAGCGCAGAUGUCGUCAGGACUCAAUAUGUGUGAUUUGUCCCUGUAUAUCUAUGUAAGCUCCACACGCCGAACUCGGGAUAGAUGCCGACGCGAAUGCAUGAACAUUGCGUAGCUUGUUUGAGAGCCUUUAUUUACCGCAAUGAAAACUCAGCAAUGUUUGAGACGGUAUAGUGUGGAGCCGGCAUUGUAUGUAUACAUAUAUAUUUGCUCAUUUGGAGUUUUAUAACAAGCGAAACUAAAUUUUUAGAAUAUUGUUCCUAGAAUUGAUUUUGUUAAUGUUAUGUAUAUUUAAGGUGAGUUGCACAGACAAAUUUAACGUUGAUUUUAAGCGACGUCCGCUGUCGUUUAGACAAAAUAAAAAUCUUAAAACUUUGCGUAGGUACUUUGUUUUUCUGCGCACGUCAAAGUUAACUUCGAAGUUGAUGUGCAACCCUAUUGUUUAAGAAAUUAAAAAAAUAUAUCUUUUUAUCAUUUUAUUGGUAACUUUGUCGUUGCUAUAUUAAUGUUCAAAUAUUAAUGACAAACAAUAAAUUACUUUAUUCAACUUUGGGUAAGUUUACAAAUUACAAAAUAUGGUAAAAGUAUGGGAACUAAUUAUAAACUGAAACUAAAUAAAUAUAGUAUGUUCAUAUUUAUCCGUUAUUAAUUUGCCACUACGCACUUUAUAAUAUUUGAAAUUGACAGAAAGAGAAAAAAAUGCGGCCAAGUGCGAGUCGUCUCGCCCAUUAAGUGUUCCGUAUUGCUGUUUACGAUUUAUGGACUUACCACUUAUUAGAUCUCGUUCAAACCAAUAUUUGGUGGAAGUUUACAUAGUAAUGUACAUAUUUUUUUUUUAGUUUUAUCAUUCUCUUAUUUCAGAACAUUUUAUCACUUUGGAAGUGUCUCUCGCUCAAACUAUUCAGUUUAGGAAAAAAAAUGACAUCAGAAACCUCAAUAUAAUUUUUCAAGACCUAUCCUAUGUAUACCUCACACUUAUAGGUAAAAAAAUUUUGAGUUUCAGUUCUAAAAUUUAUUGUUUUUUUUUUCUUCUAUUGUUGUGUAAAAUUUUAAUGUGGUUCUCAGAAUACAUCUACUUACUACGUUUCAACAGUAUACUGUUGUAAGAACUAUAGUUCUUAUAGGUAGUUUCGGAAUCUAUAGGGUUCCGUUUUUGCCAUUUGGCUACGGAACCCUAAAACGUACUUUAGCUUAAAUUAUGCUUUAACUUUGUCUACUUAGAUUGACUACUUGAUUGUUUGAACAUUUACAAGAAUGCCAGUUCCAGCUGUACCUAUUAAUAAGAUAGUAUAACUAAAUAGGCAAUAAAAUUUUGAAAAUCGGUUGAUAAAUUACGAAAAUACACAAAUUAUUAUUUUAUUUCUCAUGUUACUAACAAGACUCAUUAUCUGUUUCUAAUACCAUUAGCGAGACAAAUAACUAGCGCUCCACCCCAACUUUGGCGGCAAAUCAAUAAGGUAGCUUAUGUUACACCUGAAGGAUAUUCUACGUUUGUGUCAUAUUUAGUUUUUUUAUAAAGUUUAUUAUUCUUUACGCCCUAUAUUAUUUUUGGGUUGAAGUUUGACCUUGAUCGAUUUAAGGUUCACGGUAUUUAAGAAAUUAAAAGUGUUGAGUGUGUAUAACCGUGUUUCAUUGUCAUCCAUGGAGCGCUUUACUCCUUAAAAGUAUAGGAGUGAGGCGCUCUAUUUUGACCCUCUUGAAGAUAUGCCAGCCCUCAAUCGACGCUACUUUGUUAAGGUUGCAAGACGUUGUGCUACCGGACAGUAAGUACAUAGGACACGUGAAAUUCCUCGAAUCAUUAUAUAUUAUAAAGUUUAAAGUGUAUGAAAUAGUUUAAUCUGAAUGAAUUUAGCUACGUGUCGCUAUGCGCAGGUGGCUAAAUAUAAUAUUAUAAAUGUGAAAGUAGUUUGUUACCUCUUCACGCUUUAUACCAAUCUUAUCGAAAUUUUUCAUGCAUGUAGUUUGUAGUACGCUGAAGACGUAGGGUACUUUCAUCCAAAAAAACUGCUCCGUGAGAAAUACGCAGAGCCGCGGGCCAAAGAUAGUAAAUUAUACAAUUUUUUGGGCCCAUCAUCUCAUCAUACAUUAGCGGCGCUACAAUCGCUAUUGAUAUUUCCAUUACAAACUUGCUGGGACUUGCGACUGUGGCGCGGUUAUUGAUCACUCAACCCCAAAUAUAAAGCAUAUUAUACCUAUCAAGCUAUACCUAUGUUAGACUGGGGCCAGUACUACAUGGGUAUUACCUAAGGGCGUGGAAAAGUAUCGGUUCUCUAUGCAACGAUGCUAAAAUAUCGAUAAUCUUCUACCUAUUUAGUAUCGAAUCGAUUUUAUUAUUUGCCACGUACCUAGACCGUCGUCAUAUCUUUUCGUUUCGCUCUUACAAGAAAGAGAAACGCGUAUUGGAAAAUUCGGAAAUACACGCGAAGAAAUGGAACAGAGUGUUAAACAACUUUUGUUUCUUUGUGUGCUCGGUACCUACAACGUAUAUUUUGCCGUUUUGUAUGAGAUAGACUGAAAAGUGUAUGGCAACACGUCCUUCGUACGCUCACUCAGUUUCUGUAGAUUACUUUGUCUUGAUAGUGAAUAGGUAUUUACUGUGAAAUCGAGUAAUAUCGAGUACUGCGUUAAAUGUUGUCGAUAUCUAGAUUUUCCCUAGGUAGGUACAGCGCUUUGAGUACCAAAUCUGUUACGAUUGCGCCGUAGGGACAUAAUAAUAACAAUAAAACAUUGAUUCGCCAUCCUAUGCCAGUCAUUACUCAUAUUCGGUGCACGAUACAUAGAGCGAAGUCAGUUUUGCAUAAGUUUUAAUUCUGUGGGUGAUUUAUUGACCCAGACAGCACUGUUAAUAUCGUAACAUGGAAGGUGGUACACCAGAACCUCCGAAGCAUAAGCGGUCCUGGAAGAAGGCUAGACGAGAAAGAUCCAGUUCGUCUUCUUCCUCCAGCAGCAGCAGCGACAGCGACACCAAUACAACAAGAGCCAGGAAUGGAAGUAGAGGCAGAACUUCGCCUAGGACUCCCCCUUUGCUGCAGCGAUCUGUAAGGAAAGUUAGGCGAGGAAGAAGUUCGCCUUCUUUGCCUUCUUCACCUUCUUCGCCUUCUUCGUCUUCGUCUUCAUCGAGCAGCGACACAGAUCGAGUAAACUUAAUUUUACCAAAAAUUUUCUAUAGUUUAAGUACCUAUCUAUCAUAAUUUCGUCGUUAGGUAACAAGUAGUCUCUGAACCUGAAAAGUGAACUUAAGUUUUACUUCGGUAUAAUUAUUUUAUACAUAUAUUUUUUUUUUUAAUUUAAUUUAUGUAUUUUCAAAAAUUUUCAAUUCAAUUCAAAUGAAAUGUUAGAUUAUUUAUAUACCUAUAUCGAAAUAGCCAACGUUAGGAUAUAGGGUUACAUAUAAGGUUCUUUGUCGAAAACGAGGUCGUAAAAAUCAUGGGUUGUCUCUCAGUCAUUUGAAACUAAUGUAAGUAAAUAAAAUAUAACAGUGAAACAUAUUCGCCUUUUUAUGCUUAGGUAAAUUGAACAUCGCACGAAAUCUAGACUCGGCUGAGUUGGAGUUUGACGUAAGAUAACCCCCAACUACCCCAGCGCCAUUUACAUUAAGGUUUCCAGAUUUCACUUUCUGUGUUAACAACCCCUACGAACAUAAAUAAAGAUGUGUCAAGUGAGUAACAAAGUAGUUGACUUCUUCGCAACGUAGUCCAUGGUGUCCAUUAAGGACCCACACUCUAUCGUACUAAACUUGUAUCGCGGAUACUAAUGGACGCAAACACGGAAAUGGACACAACACACCCUUCUAGGUGUGCUGUGUGUCAGUAGGCAGACAAUGUGUGUACUAUAUGUCAAGUUUUUUUUUUGUUGAACUAUGCAGACAACGGAAAGUGUUCUUUGAUUUAAUAUCUAAUUUAAUAUAUUAGCUAGCAGCCAUUACAUACUUAGGCAUAACUGCCUAUUUUGCCAAUCUUUUGUUCAACUUGCAAUGUAAUUAAUAUAUGUAUGUAAGUAUGUUUAAACGAAGAUAAUGUAAAUAUGUGUAUUCGGGUAAACCCACAACACGAUUUUAAAGCUUAAAAGAUUUUAAAGAUAUCCUCAACAGAUUGAGCUGAAGUGUUGUAGUUUAGUUUUAAAGACAAUCGGCAUUAUAAUGUCUGAUGGAUCUCAGAUAUUAUGGCACUCAGGACCGGGACCCGACGAAGGCACUCAAUGAAAUUAAACAUGUUGCUUUAGUUCCGAUGGCAAUGCAUUUUUUCAUCAGCAAGACCAGAUGGUGGCCAGGUUGAGCUCUCAUAGGGGGAACUCGCAGGGUAUCAAUGUUUUACAGCACACAUAAUCUUUUUGUCACGCUUUGAAUGAAACAAGAUCUCUCAAACGACAAUAAAAGCUUGUAUUCAAAUGUUUUUUUUAAACAAUUUGUUUUCAUGUUUUAUUGCCUUCAUAUCUCUGUUAAACUUGAUAUUUAUUUAAUUAAUAACAUAGGUACUAAACAGAUUCCUAAUAUAUGUACGCCUAAAUACCUUAGUAAUGGAUAGCUUGACAUUCACAACACAACCUUUCAAAUAUACAAAAAGAGAAAAAAAAACUAUAGAUAAAAAAGGUGGUAUCCUUCGUGGCCAUAUUUGAUGUCAUUAUGGAAACUAUGUCAGUGCGAAUGUCGAGAAAGCACGCUUAGUGUGAAGGUAGGUCGGUCGCAAAUAAAAUAAAAAAAUAAAUAUGUAUCUACGUGUAAAAAAUAAAUACAACCUAUUCAUUUUUCAACUUUUCAGAGGUAUUAUAAUUUUCCAGUUAAGUAUCUGUCGAUAAACAUUUAUGUAUGUAUACA